UACGAAGGGGGCUAGCGUUGCUCGGAAUCACUGGGCGUAAAGCGCACGUAGGCGGAUCUUUAAGUCAGGGGUGAAAUCCUGGAGCUCAACUCCAGAACUGCCUUUGAUACUGGGGAUCUCGAGUCCGGGAGAGGUGAGUGGAACUCCGAGUGUAGAGGUGAAAUUCGUAGAUAUUCGGAAGAACACCAGUGGCGAAGGCGGCUCACUGGCUCGGUACUGACGCUGAGGUGCGAAAGCGUGGGGAGCAAACAGG
rnacentral:rRNA from 1 species